UUUGACCUCGGAUCAGGUAGGG
rnacentral:rRNA from 1 species